CCUACGGGAGGCAGCAGUGGGGAAUAUUACACAAUGGGGGAAACCCUGAUGCAGCGACGCCGCGUGAGUGAAGAAGUAAUUCGGUAUGUAAAGCUCUAUCAGCAGGGAAGAAAAUGACGGUAACUGAGUAAGAAGCCCCGGCUAACUACGUGCCAGCAGCCGCGGUAAUACGUAGGGGGCCAGCGUUAUCCGGAUUUACUGGGUGUAAAGGGAGCGUAGACGGCACGUCAAGUCUGGCGUGAAAGGCGGGGGCUCAACCCCCGGACGGCUCUGGAAACUGUACGGCUUGAGUGCAGGAGAGGUAAGUGGAAUUCCUAGUGUAGCGGUGAAAUGCGUAGAUAUUAGGAGGAACACCAGUGGCGAAGGCGGUUUACUGGACUGUAACUGACGUUGAGGCUCGAAAGCGUGGGGAGCAAACAGGAUUAGAUACCCUUGUAGUC
rnacentral:rRNA from 1 species